UUUGACAUUAUGUUAGUUUGAGGAGAGCCU
rnacentral:piRNA from 1 species